rnacentral:lncRNA from 1 species
CUGGGGACUGCUCGUGACAAGACUGAGGCUCGGCCCAGGGAAGGCCCUGCCAGGCUUCCCACAGCCCCAGUCACUGACCUUACCAUUUACAACAGCUGUAGCCCCAACAGGAGACUAGAAGGACUCUCAGAGGGGAUCAGUUUGAGGGGCCAAGGCCUCCAGGGCUCCCAUUCAUUUAGUGAGCUACUCACUGAGCAUGUAGCGUGCGCCGGGAGCCUAGGCUGCUCACCUGGUCUCCACAGCCAGCCUGUGAGGAUGCCAGCUCCUGAUGGGGAGGAGACUGCUGAGGGAACAGACAUGGGAGAAGCGUUUGUUACUACCCCUUGCCCUGCUGCUCUCCUUUACCCUCUGGGAAGUGGGUAUAGGUUCCUCAGGCCCUACCGUCCUCCUCUUGCUCAUCCCCUCACCUGGAGCUGGACUUGGCACCAACUCUCGCAGAGUCUGGUUGUGUUGUGCCCGGCCUCCGUCCACAGCUGCCCAGCUGCCCAGCUGCCCGCCAGUCUCCUCCCUCGAGCUCUGUCUCCAGAAGGCUGAAUGGGAUGGAAGGAGGGCAGGGUGUCAGGGGCGGGGGAGGAGGGAAGGGGGCGUGUGGAAAUGAAACUUUAAUAACAGAGCCCCUUUUGUUUCCGAGCAUAUGGGAUAUUUCAUACAUACUGAAGACAUUAGCCGUCUAUAUUUUUAAG